AGCAGUGUGUGCUGCUUGCCCCAGAGCCUUCCCUCUGUUGGCCGGAGCAGCUGAGCUUGGAAGAAAGGCGUGACACAGGACUGGGGCUUGAGCUGGAGUGUGAAACACCCUCACCGGCCUUAAGCUGUCCCAAGACAAAUGUGUGCAUGGACAAAGUAGUUCAUUGUGAAUGGCGCAUUGCUACAGUAAGGAAGUGAAGGACGACAUCAGACCAACUGAUCUGACCAGCUGCUGUGCUACCUCAUCAGACUGCAGCAGACAGCAAACAAGGAAGUGGGCAAAUUUGCCAUUUAUAUGGAUAGCUUUGCAAGGCAACCUAGCUCCUUCAAAAAGAGUUCAUGAAUGUGUGCAUCACAGACCACAAACCUGUAAAAUGAUCAGUGGUACUUUGUGGACAAGCCAGUCUCUGGUGACGGAGAUCACAGGUGGAGUGCUGCUGCAGUGGCUCCUGAAAACUUCAUCUUUCUUUGGAGUGAAUUGGAGGCAAGGUGAUGAAAAAGGCAAGAGCUGCAUUUGAAUGAGAGAUUGAUCACAGAGACUGAAAGUGACAGCCCUAUCACAUUUGUUUGUGGACUUUGGAGACAGACAGAAAGGAUGAGCAAUUGACAAGGAGUAUGCUGAAUGAGUAGAAGCAGCUGAAACCCUACGGUUGGUAAGGAAUUUAUGUAAAUAUUGCAAUUAAAUCUUGUCUGUAAUAAUAGGUGACCUUUAAUCUAGUUUAUAUUAAGUCCCCUAAUCUCUCAGAUUCUAAUUGAGUGAUGAAGAUGCAAGGCUUCAUGAAAGGAAAGCAGAUCACAAGAAAAUAAUGAUUUUUUUUGUGUAAACCAUGAUUUUCCAAUUACUCCUCUCAGCUGGGACAGAAAAAACAUCUAACUUGUGAUAUGUUCUGAUCCAAAAUUAAUCCUUUUGUAACUGUGUGUCUUUAGAUUAAAGGUUACUUUGGCUUUCUUCCAUGCAAAUUUUCAGCCCUUUUGGUAAUAUUAAUACUAGCUUUUUUUUCCCCCAAAACAUUAUUAAAACAUAUUGGUAAGUAAUGCUUUCAAUAAUGCAGAGAAAAACCCAGAUAAAUAAUAAUUAAAAUAGCAUGCAAGCUUUCUUUAUUCAACUUACGAGGUAAAUAUCCAUUUGUUAUAAUAAAUUCUUUUAAAAUAUGUGAAAACAGUUGUGGCAUAAGGAGGGAGUUACGGUUUUGACUACAUGAUGUGUGUAAAGCAAACUUGGGAUAAGAUUUGAGUGGCAAGAAAUUCCAGGCAAAUAUGGGUAGAGACAUUUGCUGCACCUUUGCAUCACAGAGAAGAAUCGCAAAAGAUUGGAUAUGCUUGCAGUGUCUGUGUAUGUGCCAUUAGGAUCAUGCAAGAAAGCUGUGAAGUGUCGCAGAGAUCUUGUUUGUACAGUGGUUUGAAAUGUAAUGAUAACAAGUGCUUUAUGCUGCACUAGGGUUACCUUUGUAUGUUAAAGGUGUAAUUUUUUCUGUUUCACAAGGAAGCUAAAUUCAGCCUCGCAGUGAAGACAAAGAGCUUGUAUUUCAUAUGGCAGAAACAGAAAUCGGCGCACAAGGGAAAGGUCACAUUUGGUGUGACAGUCUUGAAAAAGAAAAGGGUUUUGCAGAAGCCAAUCUGCGUAGGACACAGACAUAUUUGCCAAAACUAGAUAGGAGAGUACUUCGAAAUGUCAAAGAGAAGCACUGAAACUUCAGUUUGAACAGAUGAAGAUGGAUCCCAAGAAGAAUGUAAAAACAGGACUGUUCAGCUUAGACAUGAUGGCUAAAUUUGUGAUUUUCCUGUGAAAAUAGGAAAUUCCUAGGAAAAUAGGAAAUCCUUGCAGAGUCCUUGAAGCUUCAGGAAAAGCAAGAGAGUAGACAAAAUAUCAAAAGGGAGAAGAUUUUAAGUAAAUGGUAGGCCAGUUGCUGUUUAAGAGGGCUGUUAGAUGGACAGGGAGCAGAUAAAGAAUACAUUCUCCACAUCUACUUCAAAGAGACCAUUAGAAAUUUUGAUUGGUUUCACUGGAGUGAAAGGGGUGGGUAUCUGGACUGAAAGAGAGAUCAGAAGAUAGAUUGUAAAUAAAAUCUUCAAUGAGUACAGAAAUGAGACAGAUAAGAAUUGGAAAAAAUAACUGAAAACUUGAGUGUAGCAAAGUGUGGGUUUUUGUUAAAGAUGAGUAAACGACAUUUUUCCUGUGGAGCAAAUGUGAAAGAGCUACAAGAAAGUAAAGAUUUAAAGAGAGGCUACUUUUUGCAGUUUUCCAUAUUGACAUUAUACAGAGAGAAACUGAAGCAGAAAUAAAGAAGCUAUCGAGAAAACAGUCAGAAGCUGUGGGAAGGUUAAUGGGUUUACAAGCAUGGGAUUAAAAAGAAGAGUUGUUAAUAUCUGUUUAGAGAAGUGGCAGAAACUAAAAAGAACGAAUCCCUAGUUUCUGCAGUAGUGAUGAGACUACUAAAGUAGUUGUGGGAAGUCAUUGACAGCGGAGUUCAAGAUGACAACAGGAGCUGAAUGACACAGACGUUGCUCCAGAAGGUGUGGGAAGAAGGAGACUCAUCUGCAGGAGAUGGCAGUUCAAUAGGCAGAGAUUGUGCUUGUUUGCUGAGUGAUUAAACUUCUUUUUUUCCCUAAAGCACUACAGAAAUGUUCCAUCAGGAAAUCUCCCUCAUGCAGAACAUGGUGCCUCUGUGAACACAGUCCAGAAGAGUUUGCUUACUUACUUGCACUUCUUAAUUACUUUUUUUCCUAAAAAUAGUCACUUUCAUACUCUCCAAUUCUUGUAGCUGUUUGCUAAAAAUAAAAGGACCUGAUGGUGAGUACAAGUUUCAUAAAUGCAAAUACAGCUUUGCAGUACAAAUUAAAAAUGUGGCUUGAAUUAAAAUCAUUGAUAGUUUGUAGGUUGUUCAUGUUGCUUUUGUAGACCCCUAAUCACUUGAGGUAUGUCUAAGCUUUUUGGCUGAUACUUAGUGCAUUCAAAUCAGCAAAUUAAUCUCUUGGGUACAGAGCAACUCAGUGUACCUUAAGUCACAGUGCAUAAAGUUACUUUUGUUGCUAUCUACAGAUUGUCUUGACAUGCAGCAUAUACCCACAGGUUCAGAAAAAUUGCCCUUUGAUUACAUGUACAAUAAUCUGGAUCUCCCAAGGUAUUCAAGUGGUUAAUUAAAUAUCAAGUAAUUGCUAAAACUACUAAGUGACAUUUAAUUAGUAUGUUAAUUGAUAUCAAAUUUGCUCUCACUAUCUUGUUUUAUGUUAAUAAAAUCCCUAAACAUUUCUUCGAAGUAGAUUAGGAAGCAAUGUGCUUCAAAUAUACUAAUUCAAAACAGCCUUAAGCAUUACUUCUGCUCACAGAACAUACUUUCUGACUUAAAUUUUUAUCACAGAUGUUUUAUUUUGUCUAUCUUUAAACUUACUUUUUGCUAAGAGUGCAUUAUAUCUAGUAGCGUAGACCUCUCUUGGAAUGGAUUUUAGCUUUUAUAAGCUCAUAAUCCCUUAGAAUUCUAUCUGAAGUGUGAUAACUGUUAAUAGAAGUCUAGGGCUGCGUCUCUCCCCUUUGGCACCUACCGAGUAGAGAUAGCCAGGUGCUAUGGGGACUGCAUAGUCCCUCCAGUUGGCUAAUGUGAAUGAUGUAUUUCUGUGCUGACAUCUGAUCUGGGGUUUAGAAAUCUGUGCUCCACACAUAAUACAAAACCACCAUAAAUGUAUUAAGUGCCUGAUUAUUCUGCAGCAGUGAAAUUUUGCCGUAGUGGUAGCUUGCAGGGUGUUCCCCUCCUCCUCUUCAUUAUCCUACCCAGGAAACAGCCCUGCUGUAGCUUUCACACUGAGCAUUCCAAAAUUCUCUUUGCUUUCCUUUGCUGAAGAGACCAACAGUGAUGUAGAAAAGAGAUGCCUUUAGGCUUGGGUCCAGAAAAGACUGGCUGGAGUCCAAGCUGACAAUAGCCCCAAGCCUGUCCUUCCUUUCAACCACCACAGUGCUCCCUGUGGCCUCAUCAGAAACAGGAUAUCAAAAGAAAGAAGUAUGUUGGCAUGAAAACCUGGUACCAAAAGGACAUUUACAUUCCCUGACUGGCAGAGAUGCGAAAUACAUUGCAGAUCAUUCAACUAAUUAAGAAGCGGUUCAUUUUCUUUUAAGUCCAGUAAGUCCUACUGAAGACCUACAGAAUAAAGAGAAAAUAAACAAGAAGAUAAGGUGGCUAAAUACAUAGCAGAGAGGGAGCAACCUGAAUUGAUGCAUUAAGGGAAAAGAGAAGUAUGAUAUAAACACAGUUUGCACCUGGAAACCAUGCUUACUAUGCUCUGCAUUGCCCACAGUGGGAGAAUAAUGCAAGCUCACCUGGUCUCUUCCUCACCUUCUGCAGCAGGAAUGGUGCUAUCCCCCCAAACAUGGAAAAGAAAACUAUGAAAGACAUGCCGUGUUGGAGUUUUCUUCUAAAUGCUUAACUUCAGAAUUUUGCUUAUCUGCUACUGAAGUGCUAAUUCACUGGGAACUCUCCAUAGUAGUAUCAGUCUUAUGUAUUUACCUAUGAAGUUCUUCUAACAGAUGAAUUGUUUACUCAUAAACCUUCAAUUUCCAAUUCACUUAUUUAAAGUGAGAUUCUUCUUACAGAAUAAAUUCUGGAUCAUGGCUUUAAUUUAAUUUAUUCCUAAGUAACACAGAGCAGAACUUCAUUUUAUAGAGGAUGGAAAAAAAUAUUAUACUGCAUUUCCAUCUACAAAUUUUACUUUGUAUUAUUACAACAGUUUAGGAACUUAUGAUAUAUACAGUUUAAUAUUUUCUAUAUUAAAGCAAUCUCACAUAAAAUAACCAUUGUUACUGUUUAUUUUCUUACUUCUUACAGUGAUUUCUAUUCCAAAAUUAAUGAAGAGGAACUUUGGGUUUUGGUUUGUUGGUUACUUUUUGUUUGUUUGGGUUUUAAGUUGAAUUGUGUAUAUUUAAUAAAUGAGCAUCUUCUCUUGUCACAUUCUUGGUUUUUUUAAAACCACUAUUUUGGUAUACAAUCCCGAUCCCAAAAAUUUAUGUUACAUUAACAUGGAUUGUAUUUAGUGGAAAUAAAAGAUGUGAAUCCAAAAUCUUGAUGUAUUUGACAACAUUUUUUGUGUCUUCUUGUAUGAAUGUGUAUAUUGUUAUAGAUUGUUCUUCAUCUUCCCGUAAGGGAUAAACCAGAAGCAAUUAUAAUUUAAUAGCAUUCUGUAUGCUAAGAAUAUGUGGUGACACAUAAUGGAGUCCAAUAUACCUAUCUGAUUACAAGUUGCUCUUUAGACAUAGGACAAAUAACUACAAGAUGG
rnacentral:lncRNA from 1 species